rnacentral:lncRNA from 1 species
UUCUUAGUAAAUGCUCUAUUUCCUCCAAAAUAUCUUCCUCGAAAAUUGUUCAUCAAUUGAUUGUUCCUAUCAUCGCCAGUACUCGGCUUCCACGUGGCAAUUUCACAGCCAGACACGUGGUCGUACAAGAUUGCUUCAUAUACAGCUGCAUUUCCUUCAGCUUCUUGGUCCCACCUCCAAUUUUUCAUCUUUGAUCUUGUUGCCAUCUUUGCCCUCGCCUUCACUUCUGGUUGUUUUGGAUUACCGAAAUUACCCUUUAGGACUCUUUGCAUUUCGAAUUCACGCUCAACGUUGUUAGUGGACCGGCCCAAACUUAACCCGCCCACAUAAUUUGCACCCACUUCUGGCCCAACCCAAACUCGAAUCCUAGAUGGAAAGUGCUUCUCUUGCAAAUAAGAACCCUCCUCU